GGCUGAUCUGAAGGUAGUGGGUUAUCUCAAUUGAUUGUUCACAGUCAGUUACAGAUUAAACUCCUUGUUCUAGUCUUCCACUCUUCUCACUACUGUACUUGACUAGUCUUAA
rnacentral:Y_RNA from 1 species